CAGUGAACAGGUUUACACCGAAUUGCAGAAGAGAUCGUCACAGCUACAAACAUGUUUUCACUACGUCGUUUGUUAGGAAAGACAAAAAAAACACCUCAAGAAAAUGUGCCAGCAGAGGAGAGGAAAAAGCCCUCCAUCCCUCAGAGGAGAGUGGCCUUCUCAGACACACCUGCUGCCAGCACCAGUCCAGCCUCAGCAAAGCCAGCUGAGGCUGGACAAGACACAAAGACAAAGAAAAGAAAAUGGAUAAAUCGUCUCUUCGGUCACACUCUG